rnacentral:rRNA from 1 species
CCUACGGGUGGCAGCAGUGGGGAAUAUUGCACAAUGGGGGAAACCCUGAUGCAGCGACGCCGCGUGAGUGAAGAAGUAAUUCGUUAUGUAAAGCUCUAUCAGCAGGGAAGAAAAUGACGGUACCUGAGUAAGAAGCCCCGGCUAAAUAUGUGUCAGCAGCCGCGGUCAUACGGCGGGGGCAAGCGUUAUCCGGUAUUAAUGGGUGUAAAGGGAGGGUAGAGGGCAGGGCAAGUCUGGAGGGAAAGGAGGGGGAGCAACCACCGGAGUGCUCUGGAAACUGUACGGCUGGAGUGCAGAAGAGGUAAGUCAAAUUCCUAGUGUAGCGGUGACAUGCGUAGAUAUUUGGAGGAACACCAGUGGCGAAGGCGGCUUACUGGACUGUAACUGACGUUGAGGCUCGAAAGCGUGGGGAGCAAACAGGAUUAGAUACCCGGGUAGUC